rnacentral:rRNA from 1 species
GGCGGCGUGCCUAAUACAUGCAAGUAGAACGCUGAAGAGAGGAGCUUGCUCUUCUUGGAUGAGUUGCGAACGGGUGAGUAACGCGUAGGUAACCUGCCUUGUAGCGGGGGAUAACUAUUGGAAACGAUAGCUAAUACCGCAUAACAAUGGAUGACACAUGUCAUUUAUUUGAAAGGGGCAAUUGCUCCACUACAAGAUGGACCUGCGUUGUAUUAGCUAGUAGGUGAGGUAACGGCUCACCUAGGCGACGAUACAUAGCCGACCUGAGAGGGUGAUCGGCCACACUGGGACUGAGACACGGCCCAGACUCCUACGGGAGGCAGCAGUAGGGAAUCUUCGGCAAUGGGGGCAACCCUGACCGAGCAACGCCGCGUGAGUGAAGAAGGUUUUCGGAUCGUAAAGCUCUGUUGUAAGUCAAGAACGAGUGUGAGAGUGGAAAGUUCACACUGUGACGGUAGCUUACCAGAAAGGGACGGCUAACUACGUGCCAGCAGCCGCGGUAAUACGUAGGUCCCGAGCGUUGUCCGGAUUUAUUGGGCGUAAAGCGAGCGCAGGCGGUUUGAUAAGUCUGAAGUUAAAGGCUGUGGCUCAACCAUAGUUCGCUUUGGAAACUGUCAAACUUGAGUGCAGAAGGGGAGAGUGGAAUUCCAUGUGUAGCGGUGAAAUGCGUAGAUAUAUGGAGGAACACCGGUGGCGAAAGCGGCUCUCUGGUCUGUAACUGACGCUGAGGCUCGAAAGCGUGGGGAGCGAACAGGAUUAGAUACCCUGGUAGUCCACGCCGUAAACGAUGAGUGCUAGGUGUUGGAUCCUUUCCGGGAUUCAGUGCCGCAGCUAACGCAUUAAGCACUCCGCCUGGGGAGUACGACCGCAAGGUUGAAACUCAAAGGAAUUGACGGGGGCCCGCACAAGCGGUGGAGCAUGUGGUUUAAUUCGAAGCAACGCGAAGAACCUUACCAGGUCUUGACAUCCCGAUGCUAUUUCUAGAGAUAGAAAGUUACUUCGGUACAUCGGUGACAGGUGGUGCAUGGUUGUCGUCAGUUCGUGUCGUGAGAUGUUGGGUUAAGUCCCGCAACGAGCGCAACCCCUAUUGUUAGUUGCCAUCAUUCAGUUGGGCACUCUAGCGAGACUGCCGGUAAUAAACCGGAGGAAGGUGGGGAUGACGUCAAAUCAUCAUGCCCCUUAUGACCUGGGCUACACACGUGCUACAAUGGUUGGUACAACGAGUUGCGAGUCGGUGACGGCAAGCUAAUCUCUUAAAGCCAAUCUCAGUUCGGAUUGUAGGCUGCAACUCGCCUACAUGAAGUCGGAAUCGCUAGUAAUCGCGGAUCAGCACGCCGCGGUGAAUACGUUCCCGGGCCUUGCACACACCGCCCGUCA